AGAGUUUGAUCAUGGCUCAGAUUGAACGCUGGCGGCAGGCCUAACACAUGCAAGUCGAGCGGAAACGAGUUAUCUGAACCUUCGGGGAACGAUAACGGCGUCGAGCGGCGGACGGGUGAGUAAUGCCUAGGAAAUUGCCUUGAUGUGGGGGAUAACCAUUGGAAACGAUGGCUAAUACCGCAUAACGCCUACGGGCCAAAGAGGGGGACCUUCGGGCCUCUCGCGUCAAGAUAUGCCUAGGUGGGAUUAGCUAGUUGGUGAGGUAAUGGCUCACCAAGGCGACGAUCCCUAGCUGGUCUGAGAGGAUGAUCAGCCACACUGGAACUGAGACACGGUCCAGACUCCUACGGGAGGCAGCAGUGGGGAAUAUUGCACAAUGGGCGCAAGCCUGAUGCAGCCAUGCCGCGUGUAUGAAGAAGGCCUUCGGGUUGUAAAGUACUUUCAGCAGUGAGGAAGGGGGUGUCGUUAAUAGCGGCAUCUCUUGACGUUAGCUGCAGAAGAAGCACCGGCUAACUCCGUGCCAGCAGCCGCGGUAAUACGGAGGGUGCGAGCGUUAAUCGGAAUUACUGGGCGUAAAGCGCAUGCAGGUGGUUUGUUAAGUCAGAUGUGAAAGCCCGGGGCUCAACCUCGGAACUGCAUUUGAAACUGGCAAACUAGAGUACUGUAGAGGGGGGUAGAAUUUCAGGUGUAGCGGUGAAAUGCGUAGAGAUCUGAAGGAAUACCAGUGGCGAAGGCGGCCCCCUGGACAGAUACUGACACUCAGAUG
rnacentral:rRNA from 1 species